GAAGAUGAUGCCAUGUAGAAAUAACAUUAAAUGUUGCUCUAGCAACUUCCAUCUUAAAGGCUUAGAGAAGGAAUCCUCUGAGCAGCUCAUUGAAUUUCAUGGGAGACUCCGCUGCCAUUGCAAAUGCUGGCUCAGAAAUCCUGGAUAGAAAGAGCAUUUUAUAAAAGAGAAUGUGUCCACAUCAUACCCAGCACCAAAGACCCCCAUAGGUGUUGCUGUGGGCGUCUGAUAGGCCAGCAUGUUGGCCUCACCCCCAGUAUCUCCGUGCUUCAGAAUGAGAAAAAUGAAAGUCGCCUCUCCCGAAAUGACAUCCAGUCUGAAAAGUGGUCCAUCAGCAAACACACUCAACUCAGCCCUACGGAUGCUUUUGGGACCAUUGAGUUCCAAGGAGGUGGCCAUU
rnacentral:lncRNA from 1 species